rnacentral:lncRNA from 1 species
AGAAGCCUGUUACCAGAAGCACUGGUUACUUCCCCCGUCCUCUCAGCUCUGGGAAGGGUGGGGUGGUCAUGAAGUCCUGAGAGAGCAGAGGGACACACCAACUUCUCUUGUUGGUUCCCUCAACCCUGCCCAUACCUAUGGGUAAUCAGAGAUGGAUUCAGUCUCCAGUUAGGAUCCUCAUCAAGGUAUUUGUAUGGGGGAUUCCAUGCAGAUGGUGUAUAGAGAGAAGAUAGACACAAGGGAUCUUCAUAGCCAAGGACUGGAUUUGAACAAGUCAGUCUCCAGCUAUGUUUUAGACACUGAGGACUGUGCCCGUCAUCCCUUAGAGCUUCUCUCUGGGCCACUGGCUCGAAGGGCACAUCUCAGGGAAAAAGGUCAGUGUGAUUCCCUUAUUUCUUUGUGGAAAGACCUCAGUAGCCAAAGGUGUUUGCCCGUGUUAUUUGUCUGAACAAGAUCUUCUCUAGGACAGCUAGGUCCACAGGACAGCACCAAGAGUUACUCUGCAUGCUUAUAGUACCUGCUUACGAACAGAAACAGAGGCAAUAUUCACAUGAAAGCUCAAAUGUGGAUCUCUCCUACCAUAGUCACGUCUUCACAAGCUGACAGCCCUCUCAAUUCUGAGAUUUGUUAUUCAGUCUUUUCCCAAUAGGAUCUACAAAGCACCUCUUGACCAUUUAUCAUGCAUGGAACCAACAUGUCAAAUUCCUCAAUAACUGAUUCCCGCCUAGGAUCACACUCAUUGACUAGCUCCGCCAAUUCUUACAAUUCAUUCAGGCUCUGCUACAAGCAUACAGCUUUGCUAGAAGUAGAUUUCUUCUAGGAAAUUUCAUGCUACUGAGAGGUUGUGUGGCAGAGCCAUGUUGCCAUUCUUCCAGCAUGACUUGAUAGCUAAGUUGAACACUAUCCCAAGGAGAUGCCUCCUUGACAACUUACACUGCAAAGUGAAUCAUAACCCUGACCCUGGAGACUGCUAUAACGGGCUCCUGUGAGAGUUCUAUUUGCAGAACCCAGAAUUCACAACGGAACAUCAACAUAUCCAAAAGACAAGUUUCAAUGAACAGAUUCUCAGCAAAAGGACUCUAAGGAUGCAGAGGAAGGGAAGUCACCCAAUCUGGGAAGGAGUGGGGCUUCUGCUGUGUCUCUAGAUGAUGCCUUAAGAAACACCCACUCCCCGUGAGGGAUGUUACCAAGAAGUCAAGAACCACCAGUAACUUUGAAAAGUCCAGAUUACUCAGUCUCGGGUAUGUGUAUCAGCAAUGUGAAAACGGACUAGUACAUCUCUAGAGGCACAUGCCAUGUGGUCCAGCCAUAAUUAUUUGUUGUCACAACUAAGUUUCCUUUCUAUAUGAAAAGAUUAUAUUGAUCAGAAUUCUAAA